ensembl:snoRNA
ACCUUCCAGGUCCCUUUCCCAUCGGGUCAAACACUGGUCUGGGUGGUCGUAAAAGGGGGAAAAGACACAUUGAAGCUGCUGCUCAGUGCUCCUGGAGCUCGGGCUAGCGUCAAACUGGG